AGCAGCCGCGGUAAUUCCAGCUCCAAUAGCGUAUAUUAAAGUUGUUGCAGUUAAAAAGCUCGUAGUUGAAUUUCGGGGUCAGUAGGUCGGUCGUGCCACUGGUAUGAACUGGUUUCACUGAUUCCUCCCUCUUGUAGAACCGUGAUGCCAUUAAUUUGGUGUUGCGGGGAAACAGGACUGUUACUUUGAAAAAUUGAGUGUUUAAAGCAAGCUAACGCUUGAAUACAUUAGCAUGGAAUAAUGAAAUAGGACGUCUGUCUUAUUUUGUUGGUUUCUAAGAUGGACGUAAUGAUUAAUAGGGAUAGUUGGGGGCAUUAGUAUUCAAUUGUCAGAGGUGAAAUUCUUGGAUUUAUUGAAGACUAACUACUGCGAAAGCAAUUUGCCAAGGAUGUUUUCAUUAAUCAAGAACGAAAGUUAGGGGAUCGAAGACGAUCAGAUACCGUCGUAGUCUUAACCAUAAACUAUGCCGACUAGGGAUCGGAUGAUGUUAAUUUUUAAUGCUCAUUCGGCGCCUUACGGG
rnacentral:rRNA from 1 species